rnacentral:rRNA from 1 species
CGGCAUGCCUUACACAUGCAAGUCGAACGGCAGCACGGGGGCAACCCUGGUGGCGAGUGGCGAACGGGUGAGUAAUACAUCGGAACGUGUCCUGUAGUGGGGGAUAGCCCGGCGAAAGCCGGAUUAAUACCGCAUACGCUCUGCGGAGGAAAGCGAGGGAUCCUUCGGGACCUCGCGCUACAGGGGCGGCCGAUGGCAGAUUAGCUAGUUGGUGGGGUAACGGCCCUACCAAGGCUGACGAUCUAGUAGCUGGUCUGAGAGGAUGAUCCAGCCACAUUGGGACUGAGAUACGGCCCAGACUCCUACGGGAGGCAGCAGUGAGGGAAUAUUGGCUCAAUGGGGGAAAGCCCUGAGCCAGCAACUGCCGCGUAGGUGAAGAAGGCCUUGCGGUUGUAAAGCACUUUUAGUCGGGGACAAAACCGGGAGUUACUACCCCGUGGGAUGGGUACCCGGAAGAAGUAAGCAUCGGCUAACUACGUGCCAGCAGCCGCGGUAAUACGUAGGGAUGCCGAGCGUUAUCCGGAAUUACUGGGUGUAAAGGUGCGCAGGCGGUACUGCUAAGUACAGAUGUGAAAUCUCGCCGCUUAACGGCGAAACUGCCUUUGAUACUAUCAGUCUUGAGUCCGGUAGAGAUCUGUGGAAUUCCGAGUGUAGCAGUGAAAUGUGUAGAUAUUCGGAGGAACACCAGUGGCGAAGGCAGCAGAUUGGGCCGGUACUGACGCUCAGGCACGAAAGCAUGGGGAUCAAACAGGAUUAGAGACCCUGGUAGUCCAUGCCCUAAACGAUGUUCACUUGAUGUCUGCCCUCAGGGCAGGUGUCGGAGCUAACGCGGUAAGUGAACCACCUGGGGAGUACGCUCGCAAGAGUGAAACUCAGAGGAAUUGACGGGGGCCCGCACAAGCAGUGGAGCAUGUGGUUCAAUUCGAUGCAACGCGAAGAACCUUACCUAGGCUUGAAAAGCAGUCUAAACCAGUGAAAGCUGGGUACCCGCAAGGGGGGCUGUACAGGUGCUGCAUGGCUGUCGUCAGCUCGUGCCGUGAGGUGUUUGGUUAAGUCCAGCAACGAGCGCAACCCCUGGGUUUAGUUGCCAGCACAUAAUGGUGGGAACUCUAAACCAACUGCCUACGCAAGUAGUGAGGAAGGUGGGGACGACGUCAAGUCAUCAUGGCCCUUACGCCUAGGGCAACACACGUGCUACAAUGGCAACUACGACGCGCAGCAAUACCGCGAGGUGGAGCGAAUCGCUAAAAAGUUGUCUCAGUUCAGAUCGGAGUCUGCAACUCGACUCCGUGAAGUUGGAAUUGCUAGUAAUCGGGGGUCAGCACACCCCGGUGAAUACGUUCCCGGGCCUUGUACACACCGCCCGUCACGCCAUGAAAGCCGGGGGUACCCAAAGCCGCCUCAUAAGCGUCUAAGGUAAAACCGGUGAUUGGGGCG